rnacentral:rRNA from 1 species
CAGGAUGAACGCUGGCGGCGUGCCUAACACAUGCAAGUCGAGCGAUUACUUCGGUAAAGAGCGGCGGACGGGUGAGUAACGCGUGGGUAACCUGCCUCAUACACAUGGAUAACAUACCGAAAGGUAUGCUAAUACAGGAUAAUAUAAGAGAUUCACAUGGAUUUCUUAUCAAAGCUCCGGCGGUAUGAGAUGGACCCGCGUCUGAUUAGCUAGUUGGUAAGGUAAUGGCUUACCAAGGCGACGAUCAGUAGCCGACCUGAGAGGGUGAUCGGCCACAUUGGAACUGAGACACGGUCCAAACUCCUACGGGAGGCAGCAGUGGGGAAUAUUGCACAAUGGGCGAAAGCCUGAUGCCAGCAACGCCGCGUGAGUGAUGAAGGCCUUCGGGUCGUAAAACUCUGUCCUCAAGGAAGAUAAUGACGGUACUUGAGGAGGAAGCCCCGGCUAACUACGUGCCAGCCGCAGC